CGGUGCCUGCCUGCCGGGUGAGGAGAAUGCGGCGCUGGGGCUGAGCUCUUCCGCAGCGGCGGCGGCGAUUUUCUCUCUUUGCCUCCCUCUCCUCUUGUUUUUAAGCGAGGGCAGUUUUGAGAAGUGAGCACAGGAUAAGCUCCGUCCAAUUAUUUCCAGGAAGCUGUGUCAAGCCCUGAGAAUCUAGAAUCCUGUAGAAGACAAGGCUCUGAGAGACUCUGUAGACUGGGUUAAUUGAGAUGGAAGACGCAUUAGAAAUGAAGGCAGUACCAUUCUGACAGUGGAUGCAUCGUGCCCAGCUGCCUCAUGAUCCUGCUCCGUUGCCGCCCACCUCUCGCCUUGACGGACUGAAGCUUCCGACUGUGAUCCUUCCAACUUACAGAAGGGGUUGCUUUCCAACAUCAAUUAUAUAAUUGAAGAUAACAUGCACACAAAGACGCAAGGAAGCAGAAAUUAGAGCCACCAUGAACAGCACACCUCUGAAGCAGAUCCAGGGGCCAUCAGGAGAGUAGAAUGACCAGAAGCAGACUGGCUUCAGGCAGGCCGGUGGAGAUGUGUUGCAACCGUGAACUACUUCUUGUUGGACAACAUGGUGUUGACAAGUGUCUCUGUUUUAUUUUGCUUUCUUGGACUGUGUGUUUCUUAGUGCCUGGGCUUCUCCAUACUUCUCCUUCUAGUUCAUCAACUCUCAGGUACUUGCUUAGCUAUGGCAUCUGAAUCUGGAUGACACAUUUGAAGGAGAGUGUAGUACAAGACACGCUAAAUAGCAUGAAGAUGAAAAGCCAGCCAAACCCAAAAUGAGGUGACAAAGGGAUAUUUUAUUUUAUGUAUAUGUUAAUGAUUGGUAGGAAUGUUGAUGGAACCCAAACCAGAGACACUGCACCUGAGUGCUGUAACCAACACCUCCCUGGUUGUGGACGUUCUGUAUGUUUGUAGAUCAAACUCAGAUUUGGGAGCAGGGUCUAUGCUCACAGGAGGAAGAGGCUGGGACGGGAAAAUGGAAAAUUUUGACAUCCAAAUGAACCAGCUGGGGUUUAGAAGAGUGUGUUCUGCCCUUGGUGGGCAGGAAGACAGCUGGAGUGUAAGCUGAAAAGCCAGGAUGCAGCCCAGAGAUGGAAAAGGGCAAUGACCUCAGAGCAGCUUCCAGCACAGGUUCCAAGCGGGGCACAGUCACCCUGGGGACUGAAGGAAGCAUGGCUAGCUAGUCCUGUCCAUCUAUUCUUAAACAAUCAUGCUCUUAAGCAUUUUAUAUACUACAUUAUUAUAGCAUAACAUAUGUAGUUUACAUAUAAGCAAGUAUUUGAAGAUAAAUAUGUGUAUAAGGAGUAUUAAAUCAGUUUUAUGGGUGGGGUGUUGUAUUUCAUGCCUAGGUACAGAGAGAUUAAUCCGCCGGUUAAUCCAGCUUUGAAGAAUGCACAGUGCUCUUGUGCUGGUAUCUGUCCCUUCUCUCUCCUGUCUUCCUUUCUUGGUUGGAUCUAGUGUUUGUUCAUUGCAAAAAAUGUUCUUAAUCCAUAUAAACUGCACCAACUAGAAAAAUAUUAUUUCUAAAUGUAACAAUAUAAUAUUUACUUUUAGGAUUUUAGCAGCUUUUCACAAAUACCCAACAUCUCAGUUGUCUUUUCUUUCAGAAACUGUAUUUUCAUGUCCAGGUAUGGUGGUGCAUGCCUGUAAGCCCAUCACUCUUGCAGGUGAAGGUAGACUGAUUAGAAAUUCAAGGUCAUCCUCUAUUACACAGCAAGUUGGGGCCAUCCUGUACUGCAUGAGUCCUUAUCCUACCCCGACCCUUAAUAAAAAAGAAGCCACAUUUUCAUAUCUUUUUUUUUGAUUUUGAAAUCAAACUAAAAUGUGAAUUAUAGUUAUGAUUAAAACUAAAAAGAUUAUUAAAAUGUAUUGUAAUUUUGGCUAUUAUUGCAGAAGUAAGUGAUAAUUUUGGCAAUUUGAGUUCUGAAGUGACUAUGUUCAUUUCUAUCCAUCUGUCUUUACUGCCUAGACAACAGCAACAUUGUAACAGCCAGAGCUGCGACAUCAGGAUAAGGAUGACGUUCAGAUAAGAAACUAGCAUGUAUUUACAGAAUAUGAGACUCAACAGGACACUCAGUUUUCAGCUGUGUCUAGCAGCAACAUGUCCGAUAUUUUCCAUAUUUACUGAGUACCUCUAACAUGAGAGGGAUUGUGCCAGCUGAUGUAGAAACGGAGGGAGAGGGGAUAUAGGAAAACACAUGUUUAGAUCUUAAGGAGCUUGUGUGUAGUUGGGGCUGAUAAACUGUGUACACAUAUGCAAAAGCUAACCCACAGUUUAGUAUUUGAGUGCCAAAUGUGUAUUAUAAAUAAUAUGCCUUGAAUUGGCCAUAAAGAGAAUAUACUUUUCCUUUUGUUUUUUCCCUAUAUUUUAAUCUCACUGAUUUUUUUGAAAUGCAUGCAAAAUUGUUUGGCUCAU